rnacentral:piRNA from 1 species
GUGGCAGCUCUGCCUACUGGACAUGCAUU